UUUCUUACUAAAUCUAGCAGGCUGUAUUUCUCCACAGGAAUGGUGUGGAUUGACUCACCAGUCUUAUCUUUGAAGCCUGGCAGCAGGCUUACAUACCCACUCCCCACAGCACAGCCCACUGAUGGCACCGAAAGAUGCGUAAACAAACAUUCAGGUUAAGUGACUUGUCCAAUGUUAAUCAGUGGUGGAAGUGCAACUUUAAGCUCCUG
rnacentral:lncRNA from 1 species